rnacentral:rRNA from 1 species
ACUGAACGCUGGCGGCAGGCCUAACACAUGCAAGUCGAACGGUAACAGGAAGCAGCUUGCUGCUUCGCUGACGAGUGGCGGACGGGUGAGUAAUGUCUGGGAAACUGCCUGAUGGAGGGGGAUAACUACUGGAAACGGUAGCUAAUACCGCAUAACGUCGCAAGACCAAAGAGGGGGACCUUAGGGCCUCUUGCCAUCGGAUGUGCCCAGAUGGGAUUAGCUAGUAGGUGGGGUAACGGCUCACCUAGGCGACGAUCCCUAGCUGGUCUGAGAGGAUGACCAGCCACACUGGAACUGAGACACGGUCCAGACUCCUACGGGAGGCAGCAGUGGGGAAUAUUGCACAAUGGGCGCAAGCCUGAUGCAGCCAUGCCGCGUGUAUGAAGAAGGCCUUCGGGUUGUAAAGUACUUUCAGCGGGGAGGAAGGGAGUAAAGUUAAUACCUUUGCUCAUUGACGUUACCCGCAGAAGAAGCACCGGCUAACUCCGUG